AAGGAUUUAAGUUAAAAUAAACUUUUAGCCUUCAAAGCUAAAUAUAGAAAUUUUCUAAGCCUUA
rnacentral:tRNA from 1 species